ensembl:lncRNA
UGUUGUUUGUUUGUGAGGAGAAGUUGGGGGGUGGGAGAGGGGCGGCCGUUCGUCCGUCCCCUCUGCGGAGUGCGCCCCGCCUCCGCCUCUCUGAGGAGGGGCCGUGAGGUACCGUGAGGGGAGUUCUCCCCGGGAACGGGCGGAUAGGCGCGUGUUUGGCACAGCUCCGGGCGCGCAGCCAGAGCCGGCCGGCGGCACUGGGAGACUGCAGGCCCUGAGUUGGGCAGCGCGCCCAGCGCCGAGGAACUCCCGUGUAGAAGGAGCUGCGGAGCCACAGCUGCCCCACGGGACGCGGAUGAGUGGUAAAUCCAGGACCUGCCUUCGGCAAACGCCGGCCGCUCCCCGGCGCUCCCGAAGCCGCCCCGCCGGCCGCAGAGGAAGGGAAUGAGAAUCGGCCCCGCCGCCGUGGGAGAGGGGACGGGACCCCCCCGGGCAGCCCCGCGCUGGGCCGCGUAAAGUGCAUGGUUUGCUUUUAUUUUUUUUUUCUUUCUUUCAUUAAAAAAAUAAGAGGAAUAAAACUUUCUUCUUUCGUCAAGGUACGCGGGGAGGACGUGAACGACGUUUUGGUCUCUCAGCAGAUAUUGCAGGAGCCAGGCCCGGCCCUCCUUGCAAGGUGUUUUGCCAUCCAGCGGCCCCCGGCUCCUCCUGCGCCCCGGGAUAACCGCCUGCUCCGCCAUCUUGUCGGCCUCGCGCUGCCUCCAGGAGCCGCCCGUCGCCUCCUUCCAUCGCUGCCGAGCUCCGAGCUUCAAUCCGUGCUGCAGGACGGGGCGAGCGCCUUCCCACACAGCGGGCCUGGAAUGUGCCACGCUCAGAGCCAACACCACCACACCCAGCAGCAGCGCCCUGCCGGGCACCGCCGCAGCCACGGGAGGACGAGGAGGGACCCGCAGCACGCACAGACGUCCCCAAAACCUCCCGGCACGGAGCUGAGCUGCUCUUCCAACGGCCAUCUUCUCAAUCUGCUCCCGGCCCCGUGGCAAAUAUCUGCUGAGAGACGGUCGCCGCGCCGCCCCGCGUACCAUCACCACUCGCUUCACGGUUCUUUUUAACUUUUUUUUUUUUUCCUUUUUAAUUUUUUUUUUUUUUCAUCUUCUAUUUUAAAAGAGAAGCCGGCGAGGUGGGUUUUCUUUUCCGCCAACGAGAGAAGCUGCCCCUCAGUGCAGAGCGGAGCAGCUGGGGAGCGAAGCGCCUCGGAACCGCGCCGGGGAGCGGCCGCAUCCCGACGAGUCGCCCUCCGCUGUCACGGAGUGAUGGACCACUCAAUAUGAGGGGAUCACUGCAGCCAACUCCUGCGCCCGUUACCCCGGGGCGGCCGGAAGCACGCGGGGUAACGCAGCGUUUCCGUUUUCUCUUGGGAGGGAGCGGGGAAAAUCGAAGCAGUUUUGACUUUGACGGAGCCGUGGGAUUUGAUUCUUGGGCUGAUCCACGCGGGCGGCCGGCCCGGACGUCUCGGCUAUUUACACGAGGUUCUGGGGCGCUAUACAAGAUUUACAUUUCCGUUUGUACAGCAGAUGCUUUGAUAGAGUCGCGCUCUCAAACCGUCCCUUCCGGGGCGACAGAAAUCUGGAAGCUCCACAAACCCGGCGUUCCCCUUCCGGAUAAAAGCCUUUUGCCCGUCUCCUACAGAAUCCAAGCCAUUGAAAAAGAAAAACAAAAACAAAAACCAACCAAGCGAAACAACCACCUCAUAUCUAUACACACAUACAGGGCUGUGUGUAUACAGACACAGAAGGAACAACCGAACCGCCGCCACGCGAAGCCCGGCUCUGCCCGCUGGCGUUGGGGAGCAGGAGGGGAGUCGGCUCCCACCACCGAGCACGGCAGACCACCACCACAACCCCUCUCCUCCCCUCGCGGGGUGCAUCCGGGCCUCGCUCAGCCUCUCCGUGUGGCUGCGGCCAGAAAACACCGCACCGCUCUGCUUGUUCUCUCUUUGUUGCUGCGAGAUUUCUUCCCCCGACGCGCUCUGCUCUUCUCACCCGUGUGCUGGAAGGUCAAAUGGAGCUGUGGGAGGUUUCUGUACAUAGAUACAGCGCUCAGAGCCGGCGCCGGGUGGGACAGAUGUGCUGGGUGUUGGGUUUUUUUUGGCUUGCGUGAUGUUUGCCUCUUCCCUUUUCCACGUGGCUCCUAAGCGGCGCUACCACGGAGUAAGAAAGGUAAGGCGAAUUCAGCCAAAAAAAAAUCCAAAAAAAAAACCAAAAAAAGGAGAAAAAAAAAUAAACCCAAAAAGAAUAUAUAUAUUUAUAUAUAUAUAUAUAUAACCCUCUUCGAAAAGGAGAGGUACCGCCCGCGUCGGCGCAAGAACCGGAGUGGCUCCCAGCAGCUGAGCAACAGAAAGUCCAUCAGCACCGAAGCGAGGGGACGCGGCGCUGCUGGCGCGGACACACACAGCAAUACAGCAGGACAUCACUGGGACAGCUGCCUUACAGUACAAAAUACAGUACGAGUGUACGGCGCCGGGCGGACACGCAGGAAUUACUAUUGCUCCCGGGAGGGCGUCGGAAACCGAGUCCUUUCGUGAUGGAGGAGAGUUAAAAACAGGAAAACGGAAGAGAGUCCUGGUUAAAAAUUCCCUUCAAAAGGGGCGGCGGGGGGCGCGUGGGGACGGCCCCGCUGGGAUGAGCCGCCCUCGGCCGUGCCUCACUUCUGCCAAUAAAUACGGAGCAAACGGAGCGGGGCGGCCGGGAGAGGGAUGGAGACAAUAAAUUAAGAAGGCAGCUGAAAUGAGAGGGCGGGCGUGCGUGGUGUGAGACAGAACCGGAGGGACGACGACGGUCCUACGAGAGCCUGGGAGGCGUCACACAGCAAUAGCUGGAACUUUGGAAUGAACAGCGGGCUCCCAUUCAGUUCAAAGUUAGGAGUACGGCGUGUUGGCUUAAAAAAAACCCCGCUGUGCAGGGCGGGACUGAGCCGAUUGCUUUAAAAAAUAAAGACCAUUCGAGAGUGAAAAUCCAUUUAAUAACAGAGGAGAGCGCCGAGAGGCCCCGCUGUGCUCCGCGGCGGCAGGAGCCGCGCUGGCGGAACGUCGAAGUGGUCAUUAAGAAUAAUUAAAAAAGGGGGAGAGAGGACAAAAAAUUAAAAAAAAAAAAAAAAAAAACCAAAAAGGGGGGGAAAAAAAAAAAAUAAAAAUGAAAACCAAACCCAAAAAAAGGGGGGAGACGUGGCGGGGCUCCCAGCUCCCCCAGCCACCACACGUUGAGGUACUGAGGAGACGCGUUGAGUUCGUGUUAAAAACCCGCGCUCGGAGGAGGGAGAGGAGGAAGAAGAAGAGGAGCGGGGUGGGAUUUCUGCACCUGAGGUCGGCGGCACCGCGGCGUGGGGGAUCCCUGCGGCACCGCGGCCGUGUGCUUUGUGCUGCUGCCUUCUGCUGCUGCCUUCCUGCUGCUCGCCCUCUCUCUGCGACCCCCGUGGUCGAAAGAAAAGGAGAGGAGGGUGGGGGGGGGGGAGAAAAAAAGCCAAAAAGGAGAAAAAAAGAAAAAAAAAAAAGGAGGAAAAAAGAAAAAAAAAAAAAGGAGGAAAAAAGAGCCCCGAAGCCAAACGAGGCCGUUCCUCACUCCUCACAAACCUGCCGGAUUCCCACCUGCUCGGCUGCGGGGUCCGGGUCGGCUGCCCGGAGUUCUGCAUCCCGGAAAACAACGCUGCGGAACGGAGGGGGGGAGAUGGGCUAAAUUCAAAAGGGAAAUCGAAGGAGACAAUGGACGUUGGUCCAGAGACGAACCCCUGCGUGGCAUCGCAUCGUAUCGCAUCGCAUCGCAUCGCCUCUCGCGGCCGUGGGCUCCGGUGCAGACGCCGGGAUGCUGGUGGGGCAGUGCCGGCACGGAGAGGGGGCGGGAUGGAACGGGACAGGACGGGAGAGAAGAGAGCAAAGGAGAGGAAAGGAGAGGAGAGGACAGGAGGGGGGCCCGGCGGCCCCGAGGAGCGCGGAGUCCUCGUUGGAAGCGGGCUGAGGGCUGCGGGCGCUCCGUGCCCCGUCGGAAGGAGAGACGCGGGGGGGGCUGCGGUCGGGCCCGGCGCUCCCUCCGUGUCCGGCGGCGCGGGGCGCGGGGCCCCCUUCUCCCGGUCGCGGUCGCGGCCCCGGCGGCGAGGAGGGGAAGGGGGGUCCGGGCGGGGGUCGGGCGCUGCCGGGCGUCGGGGGAGGAGGAGGAGAAG